UGGAGAGCGGCGAAAGGCCUGGGGCGUCAAGGGCUACGAGCUGCGGAAAGGCAUUGCGUGUUGGCCCCCCGGGUGCAGUUCUAGCCUCCUUGCACCGCCAACAGCCCUCGCGACCUGAGUCGCACCUGCUCACUCGCCUGGUCCACGAGCAACAGGUUCUGAGGCCGGGGUCCUCUGGCGUUGGUUGCUCCUCCUGCCCACGGUGCUCGUGUGCGUCUGGGGCCGGCCUGCGAGUGGCCCGGUGCAUCCAGCUAGUGCGUGUUCUGCAGCCUGACAGAGCUCUGGACUUGCAGUAAAGUCAACUAUUGGGCCAGGUCCAGGAUCUCCUUGUAUAAAGCAAACUCCCUCUGGCUUGAUGAACGUGCGUCUGAAAAAAAUUAAAACGGUAGUUGCUUCUUUCUUCUUCUUAGGAAGCAUGCAGAGAGAAGAAGCAUCUGUUCUGAGAGCAAGGAGGAUGAAAACAUAAAUUAACAGUUCAAUCCCAGUGAGCCGCCUUCUGUAUCUGAGUCAGAGAGAAGAGAGCCAGUUACACAAAAAAUCAUCUGUGGGGAAGAGUAAGGAGUUUGGAAUCAGCCACAUCUGCCUUUGAAUCCUCUCUGCCAUUUACUAGGUGCAUGAUAUUUGGAUUGAGAUCUGGAACCUACUGCAGAAGGCACAGUCCUCACUGGAUGUCAGAAAAGUCACUGUGAUGCUACCCUGGGGGAGUUUGCUGGAAAUCUGCUCUCAGGAAGCUGCCUUUCUCUAGCGAUCCAGGGAAAGUUGUUCGUGAGGAAGUAUCUCACCUGAAGCAAUGCUACAAAACUGCCCAAAGGUGGUGUCACUCUUCUCCUGACCACUCUGCAGGAACCUGGCUCUGGAGAAGCUGGACACACCGUAGGAACCUGGUGCUGGAAGCUGCCUGAGCUGUAGGACCUGGGCACUAGGCAUGUGCUGCAGAAGUCUGUGCAGAAGUGAGCACAUGAGAAGCAGGAGGCAAAACUCUUUCCCCCUGUAAUGUCCCUCCAGCAAUCUCUACUGACGAAGUGUGACAUGAGCGCAUCCCGUUACCACACUAUCAUCGGUUUGGGACAAAAGACGAGAGUGAACAACACUGAGACAGAAUGUUCUUUCUGAGAAAUAGUCGGAUCUCGAUGAAAUUCGGAGCAGACUCCUUAGCAAGAGGAUUGUUUGUUCGCUGCUUGGCUGCAGGAAGACCUGCUGAUUGUCAAAUCUUUGGAGGGGCCUUGUGAUCCUCCUUAUGUCAGAGAUCAGCAAUCAAGCUUCUUCCUGUGUUUGCAGAAAGAACUGAAGAGUUUCCAGUUCCAUGUCCCUGUCUGUGAAGAGCAGUACUUCCUACCACUUGUGGGUUUCCAUCACUCCCAGCAACCAUCAACUGACGUGGAAUUUGACCGCGUAGUGAUUUAUACUACUUGCCUUCGUGUGGUACGGACAACCUUUGAAAGGUGUGAAC